GCCUUGGCAGUGCAAUCGGUUAGCACAGCAGACCAGACAUCUGUAUAUACGGGUUCGAGUCCCGCUUGAAGUU
rnacentral:tRNA from 1 species